CGCCUUGCCAGCCGCUCAGAACUCACAGGAAUUGACGGGGGCCCGCACAAGCGGCGGAGCAUGUGGAUUAAUUCGAUGCAACGCGAAGAACCUUACCUGGGUUUGACAUACACCGGAAAACCGUAGAGAUACGGUCCCCCUUGUGGUCGGUGUACAGGUGGUGCAUGGCUGUCGUCAGCUCGUGUCGUGAGAUGUUGGGUUAAGUCCCGCAACGAGCGCAACCUUGUCUUAUGUUGCCAGCACGUGAUGGUGGGGACUCGUAAGAGACUGCCGGGGUCAACUCGGAGGAAGGUGGGGACGACGUCAAGUCAUCAUGCCCCUUAUGUCCAGGGCUUCACACAUGCUACAAUGGCCAGUACAGAGGGCUGCGAGACCGUGAGGUGGAGCGAAUCCCUUAAAGCUGGUCUCAGUUCGGAUCGGGGUCUGCAACUCGACCCCGUGAAGUCGGAGUCGCUAGUAAUCGCAGAUCAGCAACGCUGCGGUGAAUACGUUCCCGGGCCUU
rnacentral:rRNA from 1 species